rnacentral:tRNA from 2 species
GCUUCCUUAGCUCAGUUGGUAGAGCGCAUCCAUGGUAAGGAUGAGGUCACCGGUUCGAGUCCGGUAGGAAGCUCCA